CCGUGCUAAGCGGGGAGGUAGCGGUGCCCUGUACCCGCAAUCCGCUCUAGCGGGGCCGAAUCCCUUCUCGAGGUUCGUUUACUUUAAGGCCUGCCUUAAGUAAGUGGUGUUGACGUUUGGGUCCUGCGCAAUGGGAAUUCAUGAACCAUGUCAGGUCCGGAAGGAAGCAGCAUUAAGUGAAACCUCUCAUGUGCCGCAGGGUUGCCUGGGCCGAGCUAACUGCUUAAGUAACGCUUAGGGUAGCGAAUCGACAGAAGGUGCACGG
rnacentral:SRP_RNA from 1 species